ensembl:lncRNA
GAAUUCCUGAGAGUCUUUCUCCGGCCAGCAGUCGGGCGGGAUGUUGCUACAUGAAAGCUUUGCUGUCAGUAUCAAUCAUCAUUGCGGGGCACAACAUUCCACGGGAAGAAUCGGCCUCAUUUGUUCAGUGCUGACCGGAAGCUCAAGGAAGCAUGAGGCAGACGAAGAAGAAGAUGGAGGUGGUGACAACAGCAGGAGCAAGAGAGGGAGAGAGGAUGUGACAAAGUAGAGCAGCCACAACUCUGCCCUCCAGGACACAGAGCUCUGCAGGGCAGGACAAAGAGCUUCCUCCUCCUCCUCCUCCUCCUCCUGCUCCUCACCACGUUCCCACAUCUAAGGGCCAUCCCCAGGAGGGAACAAGCCUUUCCCAGCAGCAACCUUUAUCUUGCAACCCCUGUUAUCUAAACAAAGCCCUAGGGGCCCUCAGCCUUACCUGAGCAGCUCCCUCCAGCAUUUACAUAAAGUCGGCUCUGGAACACAGCUGCAGAGGCUGGGGUGACAGGCCUGGCAGUCAGGGGGCACUUUUUGAAAGUUUGCUUCAGCAUGGAAGGACUGGGUCUGUAGGAAGGCAAAGGGGUGUGCACAGGCAUAUUACUUACCUAAUUUAAGACUUUCAAUAUAGAAAUGGACUAGAGCACACAGGACAAAUGCUAACAUAAAUGAACUCUUCAUGUUAUGGAACUAUACACCG